UGAAGAUACUACCUUACAGAUCUGUAUAGCAUUUACAACUCAUUGCAAGUAUAUGUAACUCUAAAAUAACAUAAGUAGAUAAUAUUUUAAUAAACAUUUAACACAAAGAUAAAGAUGAAUCGAUAAUAAAAUAGAGGGCAUAGUGGACAAGGCAGAAAGCUUAUAAAGGAGCUAAUUUAGUGACCAAUAACCUGAAUGAAACAGAUAGAAUGAGAAAGUUUAAUGGUAAACAUUUAAACCAAAAAGAUAAAAAUGAAAGUGAACGUUGUCACAGGCAUAAAAUUCUCUAUCUCAGUUUGGGUGUGCAAAAAAAAAAAAAAAGAUAGGGUGAAGGGCUCUUCUUUACAGCUCUAUAUAGAAAAUAGCUCUAUAACUAGGCUCAUUUGCAGGCUUUGCUAAUGAUAGAAAACAAACUUGCCAAUGCAGUUUAAUUCAGUAACUUCUGGGUUAAAACAUAAUUACUUCUAUCUAAUAGCUCUGUUCUUCCGGAGUUCUCCCUCUCCCUUUUUUCUUUUCCUUCUCCCCUUGCAUGUGGCCUGAGACUACAAGGGCAGGCACAGUGUCCUGACCCUUUGGACAGCUGGCCUUGGCCUUGGCCUUCCUCCCUCUGUGCUUGGCCAUGUGCCAAGCUUCUCCAGGGACCCUUCUCACAGUUUCCUUAGGCCAUAGCUGGGAAGGGAAGUACAAUCCUGCACAGCUCUGGAGGUCCCCCAAACUCAUCACACAUUCUCAUCGACCUUGCAACAUGGGGGGGUCAUCCUGAAGGGGAAGCAACCUGGCUUCAGGCUCUUAGAAAGUGUGCAUCUCGGCUCACAGCCCUUUUACAUCUAUCUUCCUCUUCAGCAGCCACUGGCUGAAUUCUCAUCUCCUUUUGGGAGGGAAACCGGCUCUGAUAUUAUUACGCACCUCUUUGCCAGAGGGACAUAAACAGCUUUCUCUGGGGCUGCUAGGCCCCCUAAAUUAAAGCAUAAACAAAGUACUUCUGCAAAUGGGCAAGUACUAGCUUGGGCUGUUGACCUCCUUUCCAAACCCUUUUCUGUAGGGACCUCAGAGGGAGACAGAAAUAUAUGGAGUUGACAAAAGUAAAUAAAAGGAAAAUUUGAGUAAGACAAUUUGAGCCUGGCAUGCUGGGGGCAAGGACAGAAAGCACUCUCAGAUGCAGGCAGACAUCUAACCCCUGAAUAUCCCUCUUCUCCCUCCCGUCCUGGAGGCCCCGGAGAGUAUAAGAAAGGAGAUACCUUUAAAUAGAACAGCUUUGGGAUAGAAGAGCUCAUGAUGAGGAUCACAAUAGUAACUAUCUGUGAUGGAAAUUUUCAGUUCAAAGCCAGCAUCUCUCACCUGACUUGUGGGGGCUCCAAAGAGGAGUGUCAGAAAACUCCUGCCCAAGACCCUGCCUUCUGGGCCACUGACUGCAGCCCACUCCCUCCCAGGGCAAAGCGUGUCUCAUGGGAGAAGGGUGGAUGCCUGGUAAACUGGGGAGGUGGGGAAGGAAUUGGGCAGAAGUGGCAGAGAGUGCUCCCAGAGAGGAAAACAGCAUUUCGUCUAGAAGAUCCAGGUGGAAGCCAGGAAAAUGACCAGCUCUAUAGCCAAACAGCAGAGCCAUUGGCAAGGAUGAACAGAAUUGGCAGCUCCAAAGCAGAAAGAAAUUAAGUUGUUCAAAAUCAAGGCUGUUGCAGAUGAGUUUGGGCUGGAGUUUUAACCAGGGAGGAAUUGCAUGGCCGAGCUGGGUGUGAGAGCUGAAAGGAGUUACCUUUCUGCCUGGAAAUGGAGAGCCAUCUAUUCUCCCCCUUUUCAUCCUUCUCCCUUUUCCCCCUUUCUAUCUUUCCUACCUGUAUCUUUUUUUAUUUGGAGAAAACUUUAUAUAUGUUCCACUACUUGGAGUACACAGAUGUUAAUAUUUCAUCAUAUUGGCUUCCAAUAUUUUUUAAUCAAAAACUCCCGUAUUACAGAUAACAUUGUCCCUCUCCUCAGUCCCAUUCAUCUCCUUCCCUGCCUGAGCACGUCUACUAUCACGAAUUUGGUGUAGAUUCUUCUAGUCCACACUUAAAUAUUUUUUGCUAUGCAUAUGUUUAUCCACAAACAAUAUAAUAUAUUGUGUUUUUAAGUGGAGUAAGUAUGUCAUACCAUGCAUAUUGAUGGGCAACUUGCUUUGGUUAAUGAACAUAUUUUUUUUGCUCUAACAACAUUCAAUAUAUUGAUCAAGUUUGCUCCUUCUAACUAUUGUGUAGUAUCCCAUCAUGUCGCAUACCAUUCUCUCUGUAGUCAUUCCCUUCAUGAUAUGUUUUCCAACUUUUCACCAUUAUAGGCAAUGCUAAUGAACAUCUUAAUGCCUGUUUAUUCUUUAGCAAAAAAACCCAGCAGUUUCUAGAGCAAAAGAAAUAAUAAACUAUAAUUCUAAUCUUUUUUGUGCAUUCUAUGAUAAAGGAUAAGAUGCAUCCAAAAUUACUGUGUGCCCUAAAUGUACGCAGGGGUCGCCAGUUGGUUGAGCUCAUUGCUUAUCUUGUUGGAAUGCUCUAGUACACUCGAAUGCAGGCUUGAGAACCAAAUGCUCAGGUCCACACCUUGACUCAGACUCCAAUGAACUGAGGGUCAUUGCCUAGUCAGAAUUCUUUCCCCUUCUAGUGUCGGCUGAGGAGUGGACUCACAUUGGUGUGUGUUGGACAACAGGACCUUUGAUGCAUUCUCCCAGUGUUUGGGCUGCUUUGUGGAGCUUUCCUUUUACAUGAGCUGUUAGGCAAUAUGGCCUCAAACCAAGGAAGCUGUGAAUCUGGAUCUCUUUCUUUUCUUUAUCCACUACUUCCUCCUCCGUCACCCCCUAUAACACCCUUGGGCAUCUUGGAUGUUAGCUUUUAACUUCAGUCUCCACUCUGAUUGGAGACUGGCAGACACGUACAUACCUGCCAGCACCUGGCCAGAUGACACCAGAGAGAGAGAAAUGGCAUGAAUGUGCUUUCUGCCAGUAUGGAGCUGGCCAAGGCCACAGCGGGGGUCUAGUCCUGCCCAACCAUGUGACAGGAGGGGAUCAACAGACUUCCUCCCAUAUGGAAACAGACCCUGGCGUAGUGUUCCAGCCCAGAGGAGAGAGGAGUUGAAAGAGCCUUGCCGUUAUGGCUUCUAAACCCUGUAACUAUACUUACUAGAAAACUUGGUUGAAAUAGUACCUGACAACUGAUGGAACCAGAUCACGAUUCAUUCUUUCCUGAGUGAAAGAAAAAUGAGAGGGAACUAGGAGAAGAGAGGAGCUUUGUGAGCCUCUCCCCGCCCAGGCCGGGUGCACUGAGAGGUGUGAUCCAUCCCCAGAUCCUAGUGGUUCUGGCUCCCAGCUUCUUUUCAAGUCUAGACACCUGUUGCAAUCAUAGAGUUAAAAAACCUUUCUCUCCAGACCAGCCCAGAAAUCCACAGGGCAGAGAAAAAUGGAAUAUGCUUACAGACAUGUUGAGGAAAAAGAUAAACAAUGUCAGGAGUUUGGGUUUUAGUUAAAUUCUAUUUAUUUAAAAAGGUUGAGGACUUCCGCCAAGAUGGAGGCAUAGGUGGACACACUGUGCCUUCUCGUACAACUAAGUUUAAAAACAAUAAAGUUUUAGCAACAAAAACACAGCCAAACCACAGAAAAUUGAACUAUAUGGAAGUCUGACAACAACUAACCCUUCAGUCAAAUCAGUAAGAGGGGCAGAGCCAGCAGCAGAGCAGGGUCGGGAAGGAAAGACCCACCGGACCCACCCGGGCAUGCCACCCAGUCGUGCCACCAGCCGUGGGCAGAUCCCAGGUGUAGAGUAGCAGGGGGCAGACCCACUGAGUGUGCAAGGCAGUGGACCGCGGUGAGGACUGACUGCGGUCACACAUUUGCACACAGAUAAACUGGUGAAGGAGCGAGCAAUGACACGGACUGCACAGGCCUCAGCAGCGUGAAGCAGCAGAGGGGACCGCUAUUGUUCCUCUCUGACCCCGCCCCCAUAUGCAGCAUCACAAACCAGCAACCUGGGGGGCCCCACCCUGGUGAACAUCAAAGACUCCACUCCUCAUAUAUAACAGGCACAAACAGAUCAAAACAUUAUGGCUCAAGAAGAACUCAGAGCCCUGGAGCUGAUAAAUAUAAGUGAUGAAGAAAUAGCCAAACUUUCAGAUGCACAGUUCAAAACACUAGUGAUCAGGAUGCUCACAGAACUGGUUGAUUUUAGUCACAAAUUAGAGGAACAUAUGAAGGCUAAACUAAUUGAAAUGAAGGGAAAUGCACAGGAAACCAAUAGUAAUGGAAAGGAAACUGGGACUCAAAUCAAAGGAGUGGACCAGAAGGAAGAAAAAAAGGACCAAACAGAAAAGGAUAAAGAAACAAGAGUUCAAAAAAAUGAGGAGAGACUUAGGAACCUCCAGGACAUCUUUAAAUGCCCCAACAUCCGAAUUAUAGGGGUACCAGAGGGGAAGAGGAACAGCCACGAGUGGAAAACUUAUUUGAACAAAUAAUAAAGGAGAACUUCUCCAAUCCGGCAAAGGAAAUAGACUUCCAGGAAAUCCAGGAAGCUCAGAGAGUCCCAAAGAAGUUGGGCCCAAGAAGGAACACACCAAGGCACAUCAUCAUGACAUUAGCCAAGAUUCAAAUGAAGGAGAGAAUCCUAGAAGCAGCAAGAGAUAAGGGGACAGUCACCUACACAGGAGUUCCCAUCAGACUGUCAGCUGAUUUCUCAAAAGAGACCUUACAGACAAGAAGGGGCUGGAAAGAAGUAUUCCAAGUCAUGAAAUCCAAAGACCUACAUCCAACAUUGCUCUAUCCAGCAAAGCUUUCAUUUAGAAUGGAAGGGCAGAUAAAGUGUUUCUCAGAUAAGAUCAAAUUCAAGGAGUUCAUCAUCACCAAGCCCUUAUUAUAUGAAAUGUUAAAGGGACUUACCUAAGAAAAAGAAGAUAAAAAAGAUGAACAGUGAAAGGACAGCAAACUCACAGUUAUUAAGAACCACACCUAAAACAAAAGCAAACUAAGAGGACAGCUAGAUCAGGAGCAGAACCAUGGAAAUGAAGAUCACAUUGAGGGUUAGCAACAGGGGAGUGGGAGAAGGAGAAGGGAGGAGAAGGUAUAGAAAAUAAGUAGCAUAGACAGUAGGUAGAAAAGAGGGGGGAGGGCGAGAAUAGUAUGAGAAAUAUAGAAUCUAAAGAACCUGAGAC